CAUGCUGGAGUAUUUCCUUCCUCUUCUCAGGAUUGUGAUUGCCCAGAAAGUCAUUGCAAUUGGCAACUUGUGGAUCUUACCACCAGAACAUGUCUGGCAGGUAUGAAAUGGGUCUUUAUUGAAAUACUGAAUCACAGGCAGACACGUGGAAUUAAGGCCAGCAGUGUGAGCUGAGAGGCCCUGAAGGAAAUAUCCUUUGAGAUGCAUUGUCUGCAGUAACAGUCAGGUGCACAGGAACUAAGUGUGCUAAGCUUUGUGGUAUUCAAAUAAUAAAGCUGACCAGCAGAGCUUGACUCCAUUGAAGCCACAAAGCUCACCAGUAAAUAACAAACCUCAGUUGAGAUCUUCCAAGGAUGUUGUUUGGUGGGCUUAAAAAAGGCAGGGUCUCUAGCUGAAGAAUGCUUCUGUAUUUCAUUUAAGUCUUUCAAAAUGAGCAAAAGAUUUUCAUCUAUCGCGGGGGGUUCUGGAACGCAACCCCCGCGAUCGAGGAGGAAUUACUGUACUCCAGUGUCCUAAAGGCAGCUGGAGGUCCCGCCUGACAUGAAGUGAUGUCACUUUUGUUCCAGACAAGCUCCACCCCUUCAAACCUGAAAGUCCAACAUCAUUUGACCAGCAGAUGUCUGAGAAGCUCAGGGACCAGUACAGAGGAAGAGGAGUCAUCCUUCCAUUUUUUUUCUAUUAAACAGGGUUAUUAG